rnacentral:rRNA from 1 species
AGUCUGAACCAGCCAAGUAGCGUGCAGGAUGACGGCCCUAUGGGUUGUAAACUGCUUUUGCGCGGGGAUAACACCCUCCACGUGCUGGGGGGCUGCAGGUACCGCGCGAAUAAGGACCGGCUAAUUCCGUGCCAGCAGCCGCGGUAAUACGGAAGGUCCGGGCGUUAUCCGGAUUUAUUGGGUUUAAAGGGAGCGUAGGCCGUGAGGUAAGCGUGUUGUGAAAUGUAGGCGCCCAACGUCUGCACUGCAGCGCGAACUGCCCCACUUGAGUGCGCGCAACGCCGGCGGAACUCGUCGUGUAGCGGUGAAAUGCUUAGAUAUGACGAAGAACCCCGAUUGCGAAGGCAGCUGGCGGGAGCGUAACUGACGCUGAAGCUCGAAAGCGCGGGUAUCGAACAGGAUUAGAUACCCUGGUAGUCCGCGCGGUAAACGAUGGAUGCCCGCUGUGGCGCGCCUGGCGUGCCGCGGCUAAGCGAAAGCAUUAAGCAUCCCACCUGGGGAGUACGCCGGCAACGGUGAAACUCAAAGGAAUUGACGGGGGCCCGCACAAGCGGAGGAACAUGUGGUUUAAUUCGAUGAUACGCGAGGAACCUUACCCGGGCUUGAACUGCAGGAGAACGAUUCAGAGAUGAUGAGGUCCUUCGGGACUCCUGUGGAGGUGCUGCAUGGUUGUCGUCAGCUCGUGCCGUGAGGUGUCGGCUUAAGUGCCAUAACGAGCGCAACCCCUCUCCGUAGUUGCCAUCGGGUGAUGCCGGGCACUCUGCGGACACUGCCACCGUAAGGUGUGAGGAAGGUGGGGAUGACGUCAAAUCAGCACGGCCCUUACGUCCGGGGCCACACACGUGUUACAAUGGCCGUCACAGAGGGGAGCCGGGCGACCGGCUCAUGAUCCUUAAAAACGGUCUCAGUUCGGACUGGGGUCUGCAACCCGACCCCACGAAGCUGGAUUCGCUAGUAAUCGCGCAUCAGCCAUGGCG